rnacentral:rRNA from 1 species
UGGCGACCGGCGCACGGGUGAGUAACACGUAUCCAACCUGCCGAUGACUCGGGGAUAGCCUUUCGAAAGAAAGAUUAAUACCCGAUGGCAUAGUUCUUCCGCAUGGUAGAACUAUUAAAGGAUUUCGGUCAUCGAUGGGGAUGCGUUCCAUUAGGUUGUUGGCGGGGUAACGGCCCACCAAGCCUUCGAUGGAUAGGGGUUCUGAGAGGAAGGUCCCCCACAUUGGAACUGAGACACGGUCCAAACUCCUACGGGAGGCAGCAUG